AGCAUCAGCAAACCUUGCUAAGUGAC
rnacentral:piRNA from 1 species